UACAGAGGGGGCAAGCGUUAUUCGGAAUUAUUGGGCGUAAAGGGCGCGUAGGCGGCCUGUCAAGUCUCUCGUGAAAUCCCUCGGCUUAACUGAGGACGUGCGGGAGAUACUGUCAGGCUGGAGUCCGGAAGAGGGUGGUGGAAUUCCUAGUGUAGCGGUGAAAUGCGUAGAGAUCCGGAGGAACACCAAAGGCGAAGGCAGUGUCCUGGGGAGUACCUGACGCUCAGGUGCGAAAGCCAGGGGAGCGAACGGG
rnacentral:rRNA from 1 species